rnacentral:rRNA from 1 species
GAACAAGGAUUCCCCUAGUAACUGCGAGUGAAGCGGGAAAAGCUCAAAUUUGAAAUCUGGCAGUCUUUUUUUUCUUCUUUGGCUGUCCGAGUUGUAAUCUAGAGAAGUGCUUACCUGCACUGGACCAUGUAUAAGUCUCCUGGAAUGGAGCGUCACAGAGGGUGAGAAUCCCGUCUUUGACAUGGACUGCCAGUGUGUUGUGGUGUGCUCUCAAAGAGUCGAGUUGUUUGGGAAUGCAGCUCUAAAUGGGUGGUAAACUCCAUCUAAAGCUAAAUAUUGGCGAGAGACCGAUAGUGAACAAGUACCGUGAGGGAAAGAUGAAAAGGACUUUGGAAAGAGAGUUAAACAGUAUGUGAAAUUGUUGAAAGGGAAACGCUUGAAGUCAGUUAUGUUGGCUAGGGAUCAACCUAGCUAUUUUUUGCUGGGUGAAUUUCCUAGUCUGACAGGCCAACAUCAGUCUUGACUGCUGGAAAAGAGCAGAGGGAAUGUGGCACCUUCGGGUGUGUUAUAGCCCUUUGUCAUAUGUAGCAGUUGUGACUGAGGGAUGCAGCGUGCCAUGAGGCUGGGUUUCGACCACUAUCACGCUUAGGAUGUUGGCUUUUAAUGGCUUCAAUCGACCCGUCUUGAAACACGGACCAAGGAGUCUAACAUGCCUGCGAGUGUUUGGGUGGAAAACCCUUGUGCACAAUGAAAGUGAAAGUUGAGAUCCCUGUCGUGGGGAGCAUCGACGCCCGGACCUGAGCUUUUAGCAAUGGAUCCGCGGUAGAGCAUGCAUGUUGGGACCCGAAAGAUGGUGAACUAUGCCUGAAUAGGGCAAAGCCAGAGGAAACUCUGGUGGAGGCUCGUAGCGAUUCUGACGUGCAAAUCGAUCGUCAAAUUUGGGUAUAGGGGCGAAAGACUAAUCGAACCAUCUAGUAGCUGGUUCCUGCCGAAGUUUCCCUCAGGAUAGCAGAAGCUCAUUAUCAGAUUUAUGUGGUAAAGCGAAUGAUUAGAGGCCUUGGGGUUGAAACAACCUUAACCUAUUCUCAAACUUUAAAUAUGUAAGAACGAGCUGUCACUUGAUUGGACUGCUCGG